UGAAAAGGGAGGUAGACCAGGAACCAGCUGCUGAUGCUUCAAAGCAUUAUUAAAAAUGUGUGGGUCCCCAUGAAACCUUACUAUAUCGAAGUUUACCAGGAGAUCUGGAUGGGAAUGGGGUUGAUGAGCUUCAUUGUUUAUAAAAUCAGGAGUGCUGAUAAAACAAGUAAAGCUUUGAAAGCUCCUGCACCUGCUCAUGGUCAUCACUAACCAGCCUCACUUGGAGUGUACAAGAGAUGGAUCAGUCUGCCCGUAGAGCUAAGCAAGCUGUGUCACAUGGGAACAUGGACUG